rnacentral:lncRNA from 1 species
UCUUACAGCCUUCAUCAGAAAAGUUCAACUCCAUUCACGGACUGUUUUGGACAACUUAAACAUUUUAGUUUUCAAAACUGUUUUAGGUGCAAGUAGUUCCAAUUCUUAGCUUUAAAAUGACUACUUACACAUCUCCAUACGAUUUUUCUACAAUUUAUGGUGAUUUUUACAAAACUGCCUAUCAUUUCAAACAUCAAUCCGGACCAGUCUGUGAUUAUGGACUUUUUCACACAAGUAAGAGGUCAUUAAAAUUUAUAAUAAAAAUUAUGAACAAACUAGACUCAUUUUCCAAACUCUCAGAAUUUACGGAUUCUGAUUUGCACCUUUAGUUAUUUUUCUAUGAAUUUUCUAAAAACAGAAUAGAAAUGGCAAUACUAGAAAAAUGUUUUCAAUUUCAUAUACACCUUGUAACUUGUUGAGCAAGGUGUGUACCUUCAUGUGAUGAUAUGUUAUUACCAUAUAUGUCAUCUUGUCUUAUUAUAUAGACAUACAUCAGAAAACAAAUGGAUUCUUACCUCCAUAAGUAUGGUAAAUAUAUAAAUGAUAUUACAAGGCUAUAUCCAUUAAAAUACAAACAUUGGUAAACUAUGACAAGUAAGGCUUAUGCUCACUACCCAAACAAAUAUUUAAUAAACUAUAAUAGGUAUAGUUUAGGGUUCUUUUACAUAACAAACACAUUAUUAAAGGUAUUACACAUACAAAAGAGUUAUUACCACUAUGAAUAAUUAUGAUAAACUAUAAUAAGUAUAGUUAAGCCAUUAUACCCCCACAAACGAACACGCUAGUUAUAAUCGGUAUAGUUAUGGCAUUCAUAUAUUACAAACAAAGUGAUAAACUAUAAUAGGUAUAGUUUAUGUUUCAUCUACACUACGAACUUAAUUACAAGAAAGGAAUUCACCAUCACCACCACUUUUGAUAAGCUAUAAUAUGCAUAGUUCAUGUUCACUACCACUAUCACUAUUUGAUGAACUAUGAUAUGUAUAGGUUAUAUUCACCAUCACCACCACUUUUGAUAAGCUAUAAUAUGCAUAGUUCAUGUUCACUACCACUAUCACUAUUUGAUGAACUAUGAUAUGUAUAGGUUAUAUUCACCAU